ensembl:snRNA U6 U6 spliceosomal RNA
GUGUUCGCUAUGGCAACACAUACAUUAAAACUGAAACAGUACAGAGGAGAUUAGCAUGGCCCCUGCACAAGGAUGAUACUCAAAUUCAUGAAGCAUUCCAUGCUUUU